GAUGAACGCUGGCGGCGUGCCUAAUACAUGCAAGUCGAGCGAACAGAUGAGGAGCUUGCUCCUCUGACGUUAGCGGCGGACGGGUGAGUAACACGUGGAUAACCUACCUAUAAGACUUGGAUAACUUCGGGAAACCGGAGCUAAUACCAGAUAAUAUAUUGUACCGCAUGGUUCAAUAGUGCAAGACGGUUUUCCUGUCACUUAUAGAUGAUUCCGCGCCGCAUUAGCUAGUUGGUAAGGUAACGGCUUACCAAGGCGACGAUGCGUAGCCGACCUGAGAGGGUGAUCGGCCACCCUGGAACUGAGACACGGUCCAGACUCCUACGGGAGGCAGCAGUAGGGAAUCUUCCGCAAUGGGCGAAAGCCUGACGGAGCAACGCCGCGUGAGUGAUGAAGGUCUUCGGAUCGUAAAACUCUGUUAUUAGGGAAGAACAAAUGUGUAAGUAACUAUGCACGUCUUGACGGUACCUAAUCAGAAAGCCACGGCUAACUACGUG
rnacentral:rRNA from 1 species